GAGUGAAACUCAGGACACAGACAGCCAAACGAGAGACGGAAGACCUGUGACAGAUAGCGCUUAGACAGACGAGUUAGCAGACAGACACACAAGAAAGAGAGGCACAGAGAGAAAGAAAGAGAGAGAGAGAGACUGAGAGAGAGAGUCAGAGAGCGAGAGUGUGUGUGUGUUGUGUACAGUAUAUGUAGAUCAGAGGUCAGAUCGAGCACAAAGAAAAACAGAGAGAGAGUGUCAGUUGUAGAGGGGGGUGGAACAGGGAGAAAAGAGUAACCACGGAAACGUAACUGUCUGUCUGUCUGCGCAGCUGAAACAAUCAGGAAGAAAGUUCAAUGGAGGUGAAGUCUUCACGGCUCAGACAGGACUGAGGGACUCAGACUUCGACGUCUCCUAGCGCUCCAGAGAUGGAGAGGAACUAAACACAUCAGGAGGAUCAACACGCUGGGCUGUGGGGCGGCUGAAACAAUCAGGAAGAAAGUUUAACGGAGAGGAACUCUCCGCGGCUCAGACAGGACUGUUGUUAAGGUGUAGAGGAACACAACUUGAGACUGCUGUGGAUUAAAUCAAUGAAGAAGACUCUUCUUUUUGAAAUGAAGACCUCCAUCAAACUCAUACUCAUCCACCUUACUGUGUUGAGCUGUGUGAGAUGUAAGAUCACAGUGAAAGGGUCUGAGGGAGGAGAUGCUGUCAUCAACUGUCCAUCUCAGAAGGGUUCUGAGUCAUACGCAAAGUACCUACAGAAAGGAGGGUAUUCAGAUGGUGUUGAACU